UACGAAGGGGGCUAGCGUUGCUCGGAAUGACUGGGCGUAAAGGGCGCGUAGGCGGAUGGCACAGUCAGAUGUGAAAUUCCCGGGCUUAACCUGGGGGCUGCAUUUGAUACGUGUUGUCUUGAGUUCGGAAGAGGGUCGUGGAAUUCCCAGUGUAGAGGUGAAAUUCGUAGAUAUUGGGAAGAACACCGGUGGCGAAGGCGGCGACCUGGUCCGACACCGACGCUGAGGCGCGAAAGCGUGGGGAGCAAACAGG
rnacentral:rRNA from 1 species